ACCACUAUAAAACUUGGUUUGCAUUUCUAUUUAUGUAAUUUACCUUUAUCAAAAACUGAUUCCUUACUUAAACUAUGCUUCUCUACUCAUUCUUCAAAAAAAAUAAAAUGGUUUUUGUCCGAAUCGGUUUUUCAUCGUACGAAGAUUUUUGAUAUCAAGUAAUUUUACCACUGCACUAAUUUACUCCCUCUCUUAGUACCGAC
rnacentral:lncRNA from 1 species